rnacentral:rRNA from 1 species
AUUAAACGCUGGCGGCAUGCCUUACACAUGCAAGUCGAACGGCAGCACGGGGCAACCUGGUGGCGAGUGGCGAACGGGUGAGUAAUGCAUCGGAACGUGCCAUUGAGUGGGGGGAUAACGUAGCGAAAGUUGCGCUAAUACCGCAUAUUCUGUGAGCAGGAAAGCAGGGGACCGCAAGGCCUUGCGCUCUUUGAGCGGCCGAUGUCAGAUUAGCUAGUUGGUGAGGUAACGGCUUACCAAGGCGACGAUCUGUAGCGGGUCUGAGAGGAUGAUCCGCCACACUGGAACUGAGACACGGUCCAGACUCCUACGGGAGGCAGCAGUGGGGAAUUUUGCGCAAUGGGCGAAAGCCUGACGCAGCAACGCCGCGUGUGUGACGAAGGCCCUAGGGUUGUAAAGCACUGUGGGAGGGGAAGAAAAAACCGGAGUGUAUCCGGUCUUGACGGUACCCUGUUAGAAAGCACCGGCUAACUCCGUGCCAGCAGCCGCGGUAAU